UCAAGCUACUAAGGGCAUACGGUGGAUGCCUAGGCGCCAGGAGCCGAAGAAGGACGCGGUAAGCUGCGAAAAGCCACGGGGAACUGCAAGCGAGUAUUGAUCCGUGGAUAUCCGAAUGGGGAAACCCGGCCAUCGUAAUGGAUGGUCAUCCGCAAGGAAGGGAACCCGGGGAACUGAAACAUCUAAGUACCCGGAGGAAAAGAAAUCAAACGAGAUGCCCACAGUAGCGGCGAGCGAAGAGGGCAGAGCCCAAACCUGUAAGCUACGGCUUAUGGGGGUUGAGGACUGACGUAAUUAAGGCCAGGCUUAGCUGAACUACCUGGGAAGGUAGGCGAUAGAAGGUAAGAGCCCUGUAAGCGAAAAGCAGAGCCUUAAGGUCAGUAUCCAGAGUACCACGGAGCACGAGGAAUUCUGUGGGAAGCAGGGGGGACCACCCUCCAAGGCUAAAGACUAACUGGCGACCGAUAGCGCAUAGUACCGUGAGGGAAAGGUGAAAAGAACCCCGGGAGGGGAGUGAAAUAGUACCUGAAACCGUAUGUCUACAAGCAGUCGGAGCGAAAGCGACGGCGUGCCUAUUGAAGAAUGAACCAACGAGUUAUCUGCACUAGCGAGGUUAAGUGGAAGACACGGAGCCGUAGCGAAAGCGAGUCUGAAAAGGGCGGAUAGUUAGUGUAGGUAGACCCGAAACCGCAGUGAUCUACCCAUGUCCAGGUUGAAGCGCAGGUAAAAAUGCGUGGAGGACCGAACCGGUGAGCGUUGAAAAGCUUUCGGAUGAGAUGUGGGUAGGGGUGAAAUUCCAAUCGAACGCGGAGAUAGCUGGUUCUCCCCGAAAUAGCUUUAGGGCUAGCCUCAGGUAGUAAGUAUAGGCGGUAGAGCACUGAUCGGGCUAGGGGCCAUAAAGGUUACCGAACCCUGUCAAACUCCGAAUGGAUAUACUGCAGAGCCUGGGAGUCAGACUACGAGUGAUAAGAUCCGUGGUCAAAAGGGAAACAGCCCAGACCACCGGCUAAGGUCCCAAAUGCCGUACUAAGUGGAAAAGGAUGUGGGGAUUCAUAAACAACCAGGAUGUUGGCUCAGAAGCAGCCACCAUUUAAAGAGUGCGUAAUAGCUCACUGGUCGAGAGUCCCUGCGCCGAAAAUUUCCGGGGCUAAAGUACGGAACCGAAGCCGUGGCUGUGUACUAAGUACACGGGGUAGGGGAGCGUUGCCACAGGGGUGAAGCUGGUCUGGAAGGACUGGUGGACUUGUGGGAAGUGAGAAUGUUGGUAUGAGUAGCGAAAAGAAAGGUGAGAAUCCUUUCCACCGAAAGCAUAAGGAUUCCUGAGCAACGAUCGUCGUCUCAGGGUAAGUCGGGACCUAAUCCGAGGCAAAGAGCGUAGGAGAUGGACAACAGGUUGAUAUUCCUGUACCGGCAGCAAUUGUUUGAGCGAAGGAGUGACACAGAAGGGCAGGCAGGCGCGAGACUGGAUUGUCGCGUGCAAGCGUGUAGGGUAGUGUACAGGCAAAUCCGUACACUGAAAGCCUGAGGCGUUACGCGGAGCGAGCAGAGAUGCGAGCGAAGCUGCUGAUCCCACACUGUCGAGAAAAGCUUCUAGUGAGAGAGCUGCCGCCCGUACCGUAAACCGACACAGGUAUGCGGGGAGAGAAUCCUAAGGUGCGCGGGAGAACCCUCGUUAAGGAACUCGGCAAAAUGUACCCGUAACUUCGGGAUAAGGGUAGCCGUCUUGGUGAAGGAGCUUGCCUCUGGAGCUGAAGGCGGUCGCAGAGAAGAGGCCCAAGCGACUGUUUACCACAAACACAGGUGCCUGCUAAAGCGAAAGCUGACGUAUAGGUGCUGACACCUGCCCAGUGCUGGAAGGUUAAGGAAGGAUGUCCGGGCAACCAAAGCAUUCGACCGAAGCCCCAGUGAACGGCGGCCGUAACUAUAACGGUCCUAAGGUAGCGAAAUUCCUUGUCGGGUAAGUUCCGACCCGCACGAAAGGUGUAACGAUUUGGGCACUGUCUCAACGAGGGACCCGGUGAAAUUGAAAUACCUGUGAAGAUGCAGGUUACCCGCGACUGGACAGAAAGACCCCAUGGAGCUUUACUGUAACCUGACAUUGGGUUUUGUUGUAUUACGUACAGGAUAGGUGGGAGGCUUGGAAGGCUGGACGAUAGUCUGGCUGGAGCCGGCGUUGGGAUACCACCCUUGAUACAACGGAAUUCUAACUGAGAGAGUAACGAAAUCCGGGACAGUGUCAGGCGGGCAGUUUGACUGGGGCGGUCGCCUCCGAAAGAGUAACGGAG
rnacentral:rRNA from 1 species